CCUGGUUAGCUCAGUUGGUAGAGCACACCACUGAAAAUGGAAAGGUCCUGGGUUUGAUACCCGGGACCCGGA
rfam:Ixodes scapularis strain Wikel colony gcontig_1108379849902, whole genome shotgun sequence.